rnacentral:rRNA from 1 species
GGAGGGUGCAAGCGUUAAUCGGAAUUACUGGGCGUAAAGCGCACGCAGGCGGUUUGUUAAGUCAGAUGUGAAAUCCCCGGGCUCAACCUGGGAACUGCAUCUGAUACUGGCAAGCUUGAGUCUCGUAGAGGGGGGUAGAAUUCCAGGUGUAGCGGUGAAAUGCGCAGAUAUCAGGAGGAACACCGAUGGCGAAGGCAGGUCUCUGGGCAGUAACUGACGCUGAGGAGCGAAAGCAUGGGGAGCGAACAGGAUUAGAUACCCUGGUAGUCCAUGCCGUAAACGGUGGGCGCUAGGUGUAGGGGACUUCCACGUCUUCUGUGCCGUAGCUAACGCAUUAAGCGCCCCGCCUGGGGAGUACGGCCGCAAGAUUAAAACUCA